rnacentral:rRNA from 1 species
GAUGAACGCUGGCGGCGUGCUUAACACAUGCAAGUCGAACGGUGAAGCAGGAGCUUGCUCUUGUGGAUCAGUGGCGAACGGGUGAGUAACACGUGAGCAACCUGCCCCUGACUCUGGGAUAAGCGCUGGAAACGGCGUCUAAUACUGGAUAUGUGAUGUGACCGCAUGGUCUGCAUCUGGAAAGAAUUUCGGUUGGGGAUGGGCUCGCGGCCUAUCAGCUGGUUGGUGAGGUAAUGGCUCACCAAGGCGUCGACGGGUAGCCGGCCUGAGAGGGUGACCGGCCACACUGGGACUGAGACACGGCCCAGACUCCUACGGGAGGCAGCAGUGGGGAAUAUUGCACAAUGGGCGGAAGCUUGAUGCAGCAACGCCGCGUGAGGGAUGACGGCCUUCGGGUUGUAAACCUCUUUUAGCAGGGAAGAAGCGAAAGUGACGGUACCUGCAGAAAAAGCACCGGCUAACUACGUGCCAGCCGCCGCGGUAA